AACGAACGCUGGCGGCGUGCCUAAUACAUGCAAGUCGAGCGGAACUUGUAGAGAUCUUCGGAUCUUUACCAGUUUAGCGGCGAACGGGUGAGUAACACGUAGGCAACCUGCCUGUAAGAUCGGGAUAACUUGCGGAAACGUGAGCUAAUACCGGAUGUGCUUGAGUUCAUGCCUGUGGACUUAAGGAAAGACGGAGCAAUCUGUCACUUACAGAUGGGCCUGCGGCGCAUUAGCUAGUUGGUGAGGUAACGGCUCACCAAGGCGACGAUGCGUAGCCGACCUGAGAGGGUGACCGGCCACACUGGGACUGAGACACGGCCCAGACUCCUACGGGAGGCAGCAGUAGGGAAUCUUCGGCAAUGGACGAAAGUCUGACCGAGCAACGCCGCGUGAGUGAAGAAGGUUUUCGGAUCGUAAAACUCUGUUGCCAGAGAAGAAAACCAAGGAGAGUAACUGCUCUUUGGGUGACGGUAUCUGAGAAGAAAGCCCCGGCUAACUACGUGCCAGCAGCCGCGGUAACAC
rnacentral:rRNA from 1 species